AUUCAGCUGACGAGUCUUGAAUAGGACGAAACGAUCAUCCUGUAU
rnacentral:hammerhead_ribozyme from 1 species